rnacentral:ncRNA from 1 species
UUAAGAACUAUGACAGGAAUCAAGUAAAUAUAUGAUAUUUAAAGAGAGUGAUGUUUGCUGUAAAUUCACAAUACUCAUGUAUUGAAAACUCGUCCUUGAGUUAUCGGUUGAAAUACAAGUAGACUGUAUCGGGUGAAUCCGUUAUUUUAUAAAGAAAAAAAUUUGGAUGGUACCGCGGUAUUGUUUCUCGCUCCAAGA